AACGAACGCUGGCGGCAUGCCUAACACAUGCAAGUCGAACGAAACCUUCGGGUCUAUUGGCGCACGGGUGCGUAACGCGUGGGAACCUGCCCUUAGGUUCGGAAUAACUCCCCGAAAGGGGUGCUAAUACCGGAUAAUGUCUUCGGACCAAAGAUUUAUCGCCUUUGGAUGGGCCCGCGUUGGAUUAGCUAGUUGGUAGGGUAAAAGCCUACCAAGGCGACGAUCCAUAGCUGGUCUGAGAGGAUGAUCAGCCACACUGGGACUGAGACACGGCCCAGACUCCUACGGGAGGCAGCAGUGGGUAAUAGUGGAAAAUGGGCGAAAGCCUGAUCCAGCAAUGACGCGUGAGUGAUGAAGGCCUUAGGGUUGUAAAGCUCUUUUACCCGGGAUGAUAAUGACAGUACCGGGAGAAUAAGCUCCGGCUAACUACGUG
rnacentral:rRNA from 1 species